rnacentral:tRNA from 1 species
GCCAGGGUGGCGGAACGGCUACGCAAUCGCCUGCAGAGCGAUUUCAUUCCGGUUCGAGUCCGGACCCUGGCU